rnacentral:lncRNA from 1 species
AUUUCUCUGUGAUUUCUCCAGGAUUUCCUCAGGGUUUUCCCCAAGACUUCCCUGUGAAUUUCCCUGUGAAUUUUCCCAUGAUUUCCCCAGGAUUUCCCUGUGUUUUUCUCAGUAUUUCCCUGUGAAUUUUCCCACGAUUUCCCUGUAAAUUUCCCCACGAUUUCCCUGUGAAUUUUCCCAGAAUUUCCUUGUGGUUUUCCCAGAAUUUCUCUGUGAUUUUUCCAGGAUUUCCCUCUGUUUUUCCCAUUAUUUCCCUGUGUUUUUCUCAGUAUUUCCCCGUGAAUUUCCCUAUGAAUUUCCCCAUUAUUUCCCUGUGAAUUUCCCUCUGUUUUUCCCAGGAUUUCUCCUUGAAUUUGCCCAUUAUUUCCCUGUUUUUUCCCAGCACUUCCCCACGUUUUUCUCAGAUUCCUCCAGGAUUUGAGCUGCUGACCUGGGUUGAUGCUGAAGGUGCUCUGCAGCCCCAGCAAUGCAGCCCCAGCAAUGCAUUACUGCCCCAAGUUGAUGCAUUCCUACCUGGGAUGAUGCUGAACGUGCUCUGCAGCCCCGUUGCAGCAGCCUCAUUGCAGCCCCACUGCAGCAUGACCUACCUGGGAUGAUGCUGAAUGUGCUCUGCAACCCCAGCACAGCCCCAGCAAUGCAGCACAGCCCCAAUCCAUUGCAGCCCCCAUGCAUUACGUACCAGGGUUGAUGCUGAAGGCGCUCUGCAGCCCCAUUGCAGCACAGCCCCAGCACAGCCCCAGCAAUGCAGCACAGCCCCAUGCAUUGAUGCAUUCCUACCCGGGUUGAUGCUGAAGGUGCUCUGCAGCCCCAGCAAUGCAUUAGUACCUCAGCAAUACAGCCCAGCCCCCAUGCAUUGCUGGAAUGCAUUCCUACCUGGGUUGAUGCUGAAGGUGCUCUGCAGCCCCAUUGCAGCAGCCCCAGCACAACCC